CGGACGGGUGAGUAACGCGUGGGUAACCUGCCCUGUACAGGGGGAUAACAGUUGGAAACGGCUGCUAAAACCGCAUAACAUGGAGAUACCGCAUGAUAUUUCCAUCAAAUAUUUAUAGGUACAGGAUGGGCCCGCGUCUGAUUAGCCAGUUGGCAGGGUAAUGGCCUACCAAAGCGACGAUCAGUAGCCGGCUUGAGAGAGUGACCGGCCACAUUGGGACUGAGACACGGCCCAAACUCCUACGGAAGGCAGCAG
rnacentral:rRNA from 1 species